GCCAGGCUGUGCUUGGGGUGGGCGGCAGCAGCACUGGGAGAUGGCUACCGGGGUGGGAAUUGCAGCCACCCCAAAAUUCACCAUAGCCCCCUCAUGGCUCCCCUCCCAGGACUGCUGCCUAACCCAACUCUUCCCCCCCCCCCCCACACACACACAGAAGAAAGAGCCUGGCACAGACCCAGCCUGCAGCAGCAACCCACCCCACCUGUGCCCAGUGCAUAUCCAGGGGCACGCACCUCCUCCCCCUCCCCCCCAUGCCCUCCCAGGAUGCAUGCAGCGGCAGGAACCGCAUUCCCUGCCCAGACAAGCCACUCACAGCUUCAUCUCAUGCUUCCCUGCCUCAGCCCCACUCCCUCACCACAGGUGCCUUGACCUGCCCCUGCCACACCCCUUCCCUCCCUCCCCCGCUUCCACCACAACAGACUUACCAGCUGCAUGCAGCUCUCCACACUGCUAAUCUGUGCUUCAUGCCACCUAUAUGCGGCGCUGCAGCUAUGUGCAUGCACAGGCAUUUAUCAGCCAAAUUAUCAGCCACAUCAGGCCAGUUUCCAAUAUAAGCAAUUUUCUUUAUAUUGGUGCCAAUCUGAUAUUGGACCAAUGUAUCAGUGCACCUCUAAAAAAAUUACAUCAAUUACUAGCAGCCCACAGAGGAAUUCUUCAUGAAAGUACUGAAUACAGAUGUCUAAAAAGCAGCCUGGAUUCUAAGUCCAAAAAAUAACCGUUAGCAUCAUGUAGGAAACUGCUGAUGUCAGAAAUUGCCAAGCCCAUUGAACAAAACUUUUUUGAACACUGGAUAUAUCUGGUGGAUAGGAUAUUGAGGGGGCGGGGAUUACAGGAGGCUGUAACAUUGGGCAAAUCAUUCCACCCAUCAUCCUUUGUCUUGGAUGCCCAAGAGCGCAUGUGCAGGGGUGCGCGUUUCCUGCAGGACAAAUAUUUGUCCUCAGGCAUGCCCCUGCACACUGCUCUAGUGCACAGCAAAAGGAACUGGGUGGGGUAAGGGAGGCUGAAGCCAGCACCUAUGCUGACCCCAGAAGCCUUACCUGGGGUCCUAGGGGCCUCCCAGGGCAGCGGUGGUGCCAACCUGGCUGCUUAGAACCUGGCCGGCAGCCAGAGCAAGGCUCUGGCUGGCCAGGCUCUGGUUGCACACACUGCCAUUUGUGCCUCUUUUUUUAUUUUAAUAGCAUUUUUUUUUGACACGGGGGAUAUCCCAGCAUCAGAAAAACCCGCUGCACUGCAAAUCAGCAGCAGGUAAACAUGUGCUAUGUAUAGUUUGUGGUGCCUCAAACAGCUUUGAGGCACCACAAACUGCAUAUGCAUGCUCAUGGGAAUGCACCCAAAAUGGCCCAAAUCUAUUCAAUAGGAGCCACUAGAUGCAAUGUAAUAGAAAUAGCAAACAACAAUUUCUUGAUAAAUAUAACAAGCCACAUUAAUGAGAUAAAAUAACUUCUUCUUUAGUCCUUGAUGAAGCCAGAAAGCAAGCAGAAAGACAAAAAAAUUAAGAUCUCUGUUGAAGUUAAGUUAGCAAAUCAUACAAACACCUACACUAAAAAAGCAGAAGAGACCUUUGCAGCAACAAAAACCCAACUUAUCACUGACCAACUUAACAAGGAGAGGGAAUGAAAUUCUUCAAGUAAGAUUUUUCAAGUUAAGCAGCACCCAGAAUUCAGCUCAGUAUUCAAACAAGUAUCCAAGAACCAUUUUUCAACAAGUCACAAUAAGUAAACUUCUCACUGACAGCAUAAAAAAUAAAUUAAUACCCUCCCCACCCCCAUGCCGCUAGUGUCUAGAGGACACACAAAUCUUUACUUCUAAUGGUUUUUAAAGACACAUAACCAUAGAUCAAGACGGAAAAUGAAGGAUACAAUAUUGUAUUUUUUACCAUGGGGACAAUUUAAAGUAAAAAAAUACUGAAACAUGUCUUCCAAUAUGAAUCCAAGACGACUCAAGCAACAUAUACUGUACUUAAACUGUGACAUACACCAACGUGUCAAUGCUAGCAGUCUUAGGAGUCUUGAUUCCAUGCUGUUUUAAAAAGACGACACUUCACAGAAUUCCCUUGAAUUUGGACAGGAUUCUAAGAUUAACAUCAGCUAUGAUUUUGAAAAUGCCAUGAAAUGUUCAAACUACUAUUGCACUUUAACUUAAGAUACAAGCUAAAGUGAAUGUCAUAUAAGCAGUUUGAACAACAGUUAAGAAGGGUUAACCUGUAAAAUGCUUUGGGAUAUCAAAAAAGGACUGUAAAUUCAGACCUCAGGAGCCUCCAAGAAAAUGGUGUAUAAGUAGUCACAUCUACCAAUUAUUUAAAAAAAGGAACUAAUUCCUGUCAAAAACAACCUGAUUUAUCAAGAUACUGAACCACUUAUGGCAUGUAAAGGGCAUCAAUUAGGGCAUGAUUUUAAACAGUGAUUCAAUCUUUUGGUUUCAACCAAAACUCAGCAUGUGAUUGGUAUUAUUAAAGACUAAUGGGCAAGCUUAUCAGGUUCACCUGAUAAAAAAAAAAUCCUACUAAAAUUCCUGCAAGUCUUACAAGAAUCACAGAUAUGUUAGAGCCUCUGGAGUUACCCAACUACAUGUUAACCAGUAACUUCUCUGCAACUGCAGAACACUCGUGGUACCUUUGUCACCACUACUUUUUACCUGGAACACGUGCAAGUUGUGCUGGGUUUUGUUUUUAUAGUAUUAUUUUGAGUGUGGUGAAGGGCUGGAGUGAACAAAUUUUUGGACUCUGGAUACAUAGUUGCCUAUCCCCUUCCAGUCCGUGUUCUUAAUCUGAAGACAGAAUCCCAUCAAUCCAGAAAGAUUUCUCUCUUCAAUAAUAAAGGGCAAGACUAGUGCAUAACAGUUAUGUUUCUUUGCUUCCUAUGAUGGAAAAUCCCAGAGCAGCAAGUGAAAAGUAUAAUCAUGCGGAAUUGUAGGUAUUUACUUAUCAGGGUUAUGCUAGUGUCAAGAACAUUUGGCCAAGUUAUGUUUUUAAUCUUCUUUGAGUCUCUUACAAGAAUAUUUUUGUUGUUAGUUGAGGGUAAGUCCAAUUCUAGAUCUACACUUCUAAAGCAAUAAUGGCAAUCACUUUCAUUAAUAUAAAUUAAAUUUGUUUGAAAUGGCUGUGCAAUAAUAACAACAUCUUUUAUAAAAGUGAAACUCAAAUUUGGUUAGACAUAGAAAUGAAAAGCAAAGAAAACUUAAUUAUCACAUAAAAAUUAAUAUUUUUUCUUACAACGUAUUUCCUUAGGCAAGGGUUUGCAUAGCGUUUAAUUUCCAUGCUAAAAUGUCACAGCUAACUCGUUGUUUUACAUUUGAUUAGUAUUUAUCACAUUUUUGGCAUACUCAUAAGAAACUGGUUUUUGGUCAGGGCCAGAGCAAUUUUUUUUCAGAAUAUCAGAGUGAAUGGACAGAGGAAACAGAUAUAUUAAAACAGUAUAAAAAUUAAGUCCUAAAACAAGCAAUUUCCUACAAGUUUACUUUAUGUGAAUAAAAUGUCACACUUGAACAGAUUACAUCAAAGAGAUAGUGAAGGGUACUUUCACAUAUUGGGAGUAGCCACAGGAACAAUACAACACACCUUUCAGGAUACUGCAAACCAUUCAAUGGCAAAUUUUCCAACCAACACUCAAUGUUCUACUGACCAACUACUAUAUUAAUAAGAGAUACACAAUUAAAAUAGGAGGUGCUUUAUUGUUUUGCAAGGCUGGUAAAUGGUUCCACCCUUCAUUGCAGGCUGCUUUCUACUUCCAAUCUGGUACAUGAAGACAGAGGGAAAGAAGUCAAGAUUAAGCAAUUAAAACAGAGGAGGAACAGGAAAAAUAAUCCACGAGCAGACCAUUCAAGCUGGAGAUCAGACCCACAAUGGAAACGUAAAGGCUUCCAGAGGUUAAUGGGUACAGAUAGUAAAACAGAGUACAAGAAAGAAAUUCAAGAUGAUCCUUAUAUUAUGGGAACUGUCACGGCGGGGUCCUUCAGGAGGGCCGUGAUCUCCUCGAGGUCCCUCGCUCCGUGUCAAGGCCGGCCCAAGGCACCCUCUUAUUCUCGCCCGCCACGUCUUUGAUGUUUGUAUUUGUAGUUGGGGGGCUGCCUAUGACUCCCUGGGCACGGCUACUCGGGACCUCUGUACCCUUGUGUUCCUGGACCCCCUGGGGGCCUCCCGCUAUGGUGGGUGUUCCCCGGACACCCUAGCCUUAUGGGCUAUGCGUGGCUCCUACCAGCCCCUAAUACCAUGCCCCAAGCCUCACAGAUGUAAUAGACGUUGGUAUGUCUGCACGCCCACUUCCCAGGCCGCCUCUAUAGUCUAGCCCACUCUGGGCUCUCUCUAGUACCCAGCCUCUCACUGGGACACUCGUCCAGCCCACUCUGGGCCUUCCCUAUACUCGGCUAGUCCCCUCUGGGACGUCCUCUCUGGCCACCGGUCUCUUGGGCCCACCUUUCUGAUUCAGGCUCACCGCGCUGCUACUCCCCGUCCUCUCGGGGGCAACCGCAGCACCUUGCCCUUCUCUGGGACUCUGUGGCACUAACCCCUUCCGUCGGGGUCCACCGCGGCACCCUGCCCCUGUCCUGGGUUUCCCUGAAGUGCAGGCCUGUUACCAGGCUCCUCAGUAUCGCCCCGCUCUAGGGCUCCUCAGUAUCGCCCCACUCUAGGGCUCCUCAGUAAUCACCCCUCCCUGGGGCUGGGGUCUAUGCACCCCGCAAGUGAUGCCCUUGCUGUCAUCUGCCGCACCCGUCCUGGGCUCCCUAAUGUGGCACUCCCCCUCUUUGGGGCUCGCCGCGCCCACCUUGGGCUUCUCAAUAAAAUUGCCCCUCUCUCUGGGGCUGGGGUCUAUGUACCCCGCACACAACCCGGGGUCUGUGUUCCUCGUCCGCAACCCACUGGUUGCGCUCCUCGCUGCCAGUUGCUCCUGCACUGGCGCAUAAACUGCGCCUUCACUGGCGCUGUAAGAAUGAUGUGCCCUCCUGGCGCUAGACCACGCCCUCACUGGCGCUGGGGCCUCACACUCCCUUGUGAGUCCCCGCUGAGGACACUGCGCCCUCCUCGGGCACUGGGGCCCCCACACUCCCGUGGGGCCCUUUAUGAGGCCUCCUCCAACCCCUACAGCCUCACCCAAACCUCCGGUUGUAAUACAAACAUUAACCGAACACAACACAAGCCUCCUGGCUGUAACUUAACAUCGUGGCUUAACUCCGCUCGAGCAGUACUUGCUGUUAGCCCCGUGAGCUCCUGCCUCUCUGGCUGCUGGCAGGGAACUGCCAGCCUGGCCUCAGCCCUGGGCUUUAUAAGGGCCAGGCCCUGCCUCCUUCUGUCCAGCUGAUUCCGAUUAGUUGCCCCGGCAGCUCGUAGCUGUGCUCCUUAGGCUCUGCCAGGGCUCGCUCUCCCUGGCAGUUUCUCCUCUCUAGGAGCAGGCACUGAGGUGCCCUGCGACAGGAACUAUUCAGCAAUCUCUAUUGAUAUACUGCAUCUCAGAAUUUCUUCUACAUUUGGAUUAUCCCUCUCUCAUGCUUCAAGCAGUCUGCUCUGGUCUCCACUGUCUGAUUGAAAUGCAUCUUUGUUAGCAACCAUCAGUUGUACGGUGCUGCUCUGCAGCCUGUUCUACUCUGAAAAGCAUUUGCCAUUACUCCUAGGUACAAUCAUAGGUAGAAGAGACAGACCUCAAGUCUCCAUUUGAACCCAUCUGGGAAGAAGGUGAGAAGUUGAACUGGAAAAGUCUUUAACUUUACUAUGCUAUGAAAGAGGAUACGGGGGCAGAAGAUUGUGUUUUUGCUUAUUUCAUAUCACUCCUUUAUUUGUGGAUAAUAAAAUUAAAGGCUUGGCAUAAGGAAAGGGUUAACAGGUUACUAUGUUAAUCCUUUCAAGCUAUUUUAAAAUCAUUCCAUAUUUUUUGUUUCCCUCAGCUCAGAUCCAGAUCCCACAAUGAGACCACAUACAUUAAAACCAUUAGAACUGUAGCAGAUUCCCCUGUCACGGUUCCUUUGUGCUCUCUAACAUGUCAAAGCAAUUCUCUCACCUAUUGCUUUACCCCAUGUUCCCAAUUCUUUUGUGGAAGCCAACAUAUUAUUCCAAGCUUAAUUAUGCUGCAGUGUUCUCUUUUCAAAGAUGUGCACACUGACACGCGUUAAGUGUGAACAUGAAGAGAUGGUACAAAAAGGGCAACAAAACAGUGGCCAUUUCUUUGCUGUCUUUGUAUGCUGUCAAGGCAGCGGAAAAUUUAACCCAUAGUAUUUAUUACACGAAUGACAAAUAGCACUGAAAAAGAAAGUGGAUAAGUAAAGCGAAGAGGUGACUUUAUAAAAACAGACAUUAACGCAGACAUUUAAAAACACCAGUCAGUACAUUUACAAUUUAUGACACUGGAUUAUUACCAGAUGCUUGAAUCUGAACAGAAACAGGCUGUACUACAGUUGCCAAUUCCCCAGACCGUAUGGUGAGGUAACUUGUGACACAAGAUAAAGUUCUAUUUGAAACAUGUAACUGCAGAGAACAAAGAUGAGAAGUUUUCAGGUGACAGGGCAGGCAAUGAAGCUUGCCUUUAAAAUCCCCUGAAGUUCCCUGGCUUAUCCAGCAGUGCAUAGUCUUGUCACGUGCUGUCGCUUCUCUAUGGAAUAGUAGAUCUGACAAAAAGUAUUGUUAACAGUGGUCUGUUGUUGGAAAAGCUGCUUAUAACUAGAGUUCUUUAUUGUUCUGGCUUGGCUAAGUUUAUUAAAAAUAUUCCUGAUUCAGUGCUUUUAGGAAAGAAUAGUCAUAGAGCAAAGUUUACUUAGAAGGGUAAUUAAAAUAAGUAAAUAACUAAAUAAAAUCAAGUGGAUGCAUCUACAUGUUCAUUAAUGUGCCUUAGAUACUGUGAAUUUAGUUCAGUAUUUGCUUAACAAUGUAUUACCUAAAUAUGCAGUACCUAGAGUUACUGUGUAUUAGCGCCGGCAGAUGGUUAUUUAGGGAUGCUUACUGUGCAUUAUCCUAAUAAUAUUGCACAGCAGGUUAUUAUUGUGCGGGCCGGGCCCCGAUCCCGCCCUCGUUGCCUUGUGCGGUGGUGAUUCCGAUCCCAUUCUGGCCACCGGGGGCGAACCGGGGUCGUACCGGACCCGUCUUCGUUGCACACGGGCUGUGGCCAGCAGCCCGGGCACGCGGGGCCGGAAAGAACUGUGGGGCGAUUUAGCACACGCAAGUUAGAAUUAGUUACGGAGGCGUAAUGGUUGAUUGAAAAGAUUGUUUACUUACACCCAAAGAUGGUAUUGGUGUAGGCUGGACAGGUUUCCAGGCACAGCUCCCGCUUGAACCCUCGUUGGAGGACUCUGACAAAUCGAUUGCUCCCACGGAGUUUGCUAGGCUCCGCGGGUCCGGUUAAGUUGGGUUCGAAAAGUUUCCCUGGAGUUAUUCAGGCUCUGCGGGUCCGAUAAGUUUUCCCCAGAGUUUGCUAGGCUCCGCGGGUCCGGUUACAGGAAAGGGAUACGUCUAGGAUUGCGCUCGGCGACAGGGAGAGGCGAGAAGCGAAAGCUCCGUAGGCUCAGUUCUAUUGCCUCUAUUGCCUGCUUAGGGGAGGCGCGUCGGGUCCGCAGCGCUUGGAGAUCUUCACACAGAAUCUCUCUCGUCCUCCCUCCUCUGGCUUGGGCGGAAACUACCCAAGCCUUUUGUACGGCUAGCAAGCCAAUCGCUAGCCGCCAUGUGUGCCUAUAUUAGGAGUUGGCCAAUAACGUGGCGCGAAUCUUAAUACAAAUGGCGGGAACUUCUUUACAGCGUGCAUCACUACGAUGCAAAAGAGAUGCACACUGCAAAGAAGCUAUAAUCUGCGGGAAAUCCCCCGUUGCACCAGAGUUCUCUCUAGCAGCAGAGAACUCUACCAUGCAAAGAAAGUGACAAAUUGGCGGGAAAUAAUUUAGCGGUGCCGAAGCGCGCACACAAACAAAAAAAAAUCACAACUUUGGGUUGUGACAAUUAUCACUGUUUGUGCUCUGAUUUGCUUCUGCGCAGUGUUACUAGGCUAAUGUUGAGGUGCACCAAUACAUCGGUCCGAUCAGGAUGCAAGCAGCAGAGGGAACUGCCCCCACCCCAUGAGCCACGCCUGUGUCCCGCGCCCCACCCUCACCCCAGCUGGGCAGCGCCUACCCCCGCCCCCUCUCUCCCUCACCAUGGGUGGCGUUAAUCUGCCCCCCCACACCCCUUCCCUCUUCUCUCCCCUUCCAUCACAUCAGACUUACCACCUGAUGGCAACUGUAUCAGAUCAGUAUCAGCCGAUAUGCCUCCUUAAAUAUCAGCUAUCAGUAUUGGCCUCCAAAAACCUCGAUCAGUGCACCCCUAGGCUAAUGCACAGUAGGCGUCUCAUGUAGACAUGCCCAGCAAGACUGAAUUUGCUUCUGAAAAUGUAUUUACCCAAAUCCAACAGGACUCCGAAUUUAAGAUUCCCUUCCCCCCCAGUUAGAGUCUACACAUGGAAAAUAGUAACAAAUUUAUAAUUUUCCAUGUGUCAAAUCUAGUUUUUGGAGGGUCAUCUUAAAUUCAUCCCUCAACUGCAGCAGUAGGGCAAGCACUGCCAGAGGGGUAAGGGAUGGGAAUUAAGCAGCCUUACCCUGCCCUUUGCCUCUUCCCACCCAUCCCUCCACCACUUAUCCCCACUACUACCUGCCCCCCCACCCAGUGCCUGCACACCCCAGCAACUCCCUCCCACAGUCCCUGCCCCCCAGGACCUGUCUACUUGCCCCCAACCCCUGGUACCUGCCUCCUUGGUGCUUCCCCCUCCCUCCACAGCCUCUGCCUCCCCACCUAUGCUCCACCUCCCCCAUUCCCACCCACUGGCCUUUCCUCCUGGCUUGUGGAGGACUCCAUCACCGCCCCAGCCCACAGAAGGGACCACUUAGUUGCUCUGUCCACAGCCUGGCUUGCAACACUGGCGGCAGCAGCUUCAGCCAGACCCUGGAACUGGAGCCCAGGCCAGAAGGUAAAGUAGAGGAGGUGGGGGCAAGGGCAAGGACAGUAGGGGGGACAGGAAGCAAUUGCAAUUCUGAUCCCAGCACUGGCCCAGGGCCAGAAUUGUAACUGAAGCAGCUGCUUGCCCCCCUGCCAAAGAUCUGGCCCAUGGAGCAGUGUCAUCUGGGCUGUGGGGCUCCUGAAGGAGUCAGGAAUUCAGGAGCAGCAUGAGUGGGGUACAGCCAGCCACCAAAUUCCAGGAUAUGGAGCCCCAUUGGGAAUGCAUUUCAGCAGCUGAAGAGCAAGGCAAGGGCUGAGUUAAUCCCUCAGUUUCCUGAAUUCAUAGUGUCACUUGCCCCACCACCAUUGCUGCUCACAGAAUAGCAGGGGUGGGUCUGGGUCUGCCUUGCAAGAAACCUUGCAGUCCAGAUUCAGCCCACAGAGCCAAGUAUGUUUGACAUCCCUGUGUUAGAGCAAGAAAAACAGGAGUGUAUUUUAGAGCCACAAACAAUUAAAAGAAGAUACUUGCAUGACAUUACACACAUUCUAACCAGACAGUGCUCUACUUCAGAGGAUUUAGAGUGAUUACGAAAGAAUAAGAACUAAGGGUGAGAUUCCCAAAGGAACUUGGGUGCAUAGCAGGACUUGGAUAGAAUUUAAGUAUCGAAAUGCAGGAAUGCGAGUCACAGAAGCAAGAAAACUCACUAACAUAUACACAGCCUCUGGCCACUUAGGUGCUUAAGUUUUCUAGUGAAAAUACACGUAGUUGCCCAAAUUCCUUCUACUGCAAAUAGCCAGUGGCACUGAUAUCUUGGGUGAGCUGAGUAUUUAUGCACCUGUGACUGGCUUAUGGCCAUUUGGAUUUCACAAACUAGGUGCUCCAGUGCCUAAGUUUCUUCAGGGGCCCAAACUGAUAGGCAUGCUUUGUUCAUGUCUAAGACCAGCUUAUAGUAUGGGGUUCAGCACUUACACCACUCCUGUUGAAGCUUAGCCGGCAUUCAAGAGGGACUGUAAAACAGCAAGAAAGAUGCAACCUGAGUAGAGGCCAGCAAUGAAAGGAUUCCUCUGGGAAGGAGUGAUUCCUGAGUUCUGGGGAUUACUUAUACAUUUUGUCUUAGUCACUGGAUAAAAUACAUAAAUGACAUUGGAAAUAGGGACCAUCUACAUCAGGGGCGGGCAAAAUGCAGCCCACAGGCCAGAUGCGGCCCAUCAAGCCAUUCCAUCUGGCCCGCGGGACCCAUAAAAAAUUUAGAAAAUUAAUAUUUAUUUGCCCCUGGCUGCCAUGUGGCCCUCGAUGGCUUGCCAAAACUCAGUAAGUGGCCCUCCGCCUGAAAUAAUUGCCUGCCCCGAUCUACAUCUUAAAAAAUAAAUAAAUAAAAUAAAAAGAGUACGUCAAUCACCUUUACACAAAGACAGGAUUAAGGUACCCAACUCUAAGAAUGGGUUGCAGACUGUGAAUCCUAGUCACACACAAGUACCUAACUCAGGGAUAGGAGGAGGCAUGUAAGUCUGGGACAGAAGUAGGACUUUGAAUACACCCCUUUCUUGGGCAUUUCCUAAUGCCUGGUGUAGUCAUCCCCUGGCCAUCCAACAACAAUCUAUCCAUGUUCCUAAAAAGAUCAAUGGAAGGAGAGUUUGGGCAAGAUGGCAGGAACUUCACUUUGCUAUGGGACCAUGCCAACAGUGCCACAUGACACCCUGGGAAGAGUAUCAGUUGCUGCUGAAUGUGGUGUAAGGAGUGGGAGGAGCAGGGAGUCUCACUGCUCUCAGCCUCAACUGCCAACUGGAUCAUCACCCCUAAAGUGAGGAGCUACCUGGAGUGGCUCCUAAAAGAGACUGCGCAGGCAAAAUAUAUCAGCAACUGAAAGGAAAACCCUGACCAGGGCAAGGUCUUUGAGGUCACCUCACAUUAGGAUGUCAGCAACCAUGUCCUGCUUCACCCACUUUGUGGACCUGGGCUUCAUCCCCUGGGCCCUGCUUCAACAGCCUCCUGCUAAAGGGCACCAUUUGCUAGGACAACCAGGACAAGAGAUGCCUGAGAUGUGGCUACAAGAAUGAGACCCUGCCCCACAUCCUGUAUGCUUACAAGCCAAACAUGAGAGUGAGGCAGUAAACUACACCAUCCCAGGCAGUGACAGCCCACUAUACCAAGAUAUUGUUGUAACCAGUGAGGACAGUGAAAGAUCCUUAUCAACAAUGCAACCAUCCCCUUUGAUAACUGGUAGUAGGCUUUUACUGAAGUCCAGAAGCAAAAGUUGAUGAAGUACAGUCCAGCACCUGCCAGAAGUGAAUGGGGGGGAGGGGGCAGGGGGAUUAAGUGAAAGAGACACCCCACCCCCCUUUUAUGCUGCAGACUCUAAUAAAGACUGCAAAUGUUAUUGACAAUACUUUGCUCUAGGCAAAUGUAGACUGCAUGCUAAAGACAAUGCCCAAGAUUGCUUUGCCAUCCUAUAAUUAUGUAACCAUGCACGGGGUACUGUUUCUCGCAUAAUUCUACUGUAUCAUUUAAGAGGCAAGGAUUUCUUGGGAUGAUACCUUUUAUUGGACCAACUGCAUAAUUGGUAUAGAGUUACACUAGCUUUUGAAUGCAAAGUUCCAGGAGGUCCAUGAUGAAGAAUGUCUUGCAUUUGAAAGCCUGUCCAAAUAUCCCAACUAUGCAGUUAAUUCAAUUUUUUAAAAAAAAAUCACCCUAAGAAAUCCUUGCUUCUAGCAUAAUCCCUGGACCAUUGCGGCUAUAACACCGCUGUAGGAAGACCAGCAACAUCAUGGGGAAAAAAAACAACCAAACAAAAACAACACCCCCACCUCCACCCAAUUUUAACAUUUUCUUAAUUAAGCUUGUAAAUCUGAACUCCAGCUGUGGGCAACAUGAAUCUCCCUAUUUAGUGCUGGGAACUUAAGCCCCCAAACUGGUUUUGUGAAUUCCACUGCAAGACCCAGGUGCCCAACGUUUAGGCAGAGAGACACUUGAGGCAUGAACAAACAUUCAGUUGGAGAGGUUUCAAAAGGGAAGGGGUAGCUGAUGCUAUCAGGAUGGCACAGUAGCUGCUACACUCCAAUUGCUAUGUAUGCAUGCCUGACACAAUAAAUCUCUUAAAUCAUCCCAACUUUAAUCUUGGAUGAAGCAGGGGUGAAACCUUUGUAACACUACAAGCUGGUGCACAGCCCAGAGCACCACUUCAAGUAAAUGUCUGUUCACACCCAGCACUAUCAUACCUACACCACUUCAUGACUUUCAUCCCAACUGACCAUACUUUACUGCAGAAAGUUUUAAUGACAUGAUUGUAGAGCAGGCAUUAAAACAUCUGUACCAAAUAAAUGCAACCAAACAGAGAGAAAAAACAAAACCUUUAUUUUCUUCCAGGGACAUGAAGUUUUUCUAAAGUGAUUAUAACCAGUAGGUAUGAUUAACUGUUCUCUCUCUCGUGACAAAGGUAGGUUGUUUUAAGUUCAUCAGCUCAGGCACAAUGCAAGAGAAGGCAAAGGUAUACACUGCACAGAGCAGUUCUAGUUCUCCAUCACGGCUUUAUUCACAAAAUUCAAAACAAAGCAACCCAAUAGGGUCAUACUAUACCUCAUGGUCUUGUCAGUCUUUUACUCCAGAGACUCUCAGCCCUUAAAAAUCCCCUUUCUGGGGCUCCCCACCCCUCUCCAGCUGAGCCUGUCCCACAGCUGGUUUCUGUCUCCUGUACAGGUCUCAUUUUCUGGGCUUCUCACAUAGUAGCUGUAAGGAACUCCCUCUUGCAUCUUUCCCUAGGCCUUGUUCCCUGUUGUAUGCCCAUUUGCCUGGUAGACAGGAAGUCAAAGGUUUAUUUGAAUCAAACACCCCCUGAGGUUAGUGAGAUUGAAGGGCAUCUGUUUCUGUAGCCUAUGAUACACAAGAAAAAAAAAUGUGACUAGCAUUAUGUCCUGCCACUCUGCUCCCCAGCCCUUUUAACUUAGUACUCAUUUAUACCUGGGGGCAGUCUUUGGCCCAACUGCAGAACAGGGCUCAAAUUUCUAUUUCUGGAGCUAUAGCAAUGGACUAGGACCACACUGCCACCCCAACCCAGCAGUAGGCGUGAAACCUUACAAUUUCACAAGGUGCAGGCUUAGGAGUGUAUAUAUGUCCUGCAAUGUAAGGUCUAUAUACACAGGGAAGUUCACAGUUCAGGUGCAGGUAAGAGUGUCCACAUGAAGGAGUUGGUAUAAAAUGAGUAUGCUAUACAUUUCACACUGGCACACUGUACAAGGCAUUCAACAGGUUUCAUAAAAGUACCUAUAUUUUGUUAAAAAAGUAACAGCAGAAAAGAAAUGAAGCCGGCUACCUUGAGAGAAACAACUGCAUUUGGGAGCUCCACAUACUACAAUUUGUGGGGUUUAGUAAAAGUAAUAGGUUAUAUGGAAGUUCUUUGUUUCUAAAAUAUGAGAAGAAUAAAAAUGUAUUUCUAAUUCAAGACAGACAACGUGCAUUAUCAGCUACAAUGUGCCAACCUUUUUGGCAGGUAUCACAAGAUAAGCCCUGGACCCUUCCCAAAUGCCACUCCAAUCUCCUUUCCCUGCCUGAUCUGUCACACUUUCUGCUCCCUGCUCUGUGCUCCCAGCCUGAUCUGUUGCUCUGCUUUCAGCUCCAUGUCGCAAUGUUCUCUGCUCCUCCCCUGAUCUGCCACAUGCCACACACAGGCUGUUCAUGUCACUUGUGGUAGAAGAAGUUCCACACUGGGUCAGAUCAAUGGUUCAUCUAGCCUGGUAUCCUGACUCCAACAGUAGAAGAAGUGGAUGCUAUAUAUAACCAUGCAUGCUUUCAUAUCAAAUGAAGAGUCUGGAUUUAUGAUUGUACCAAAUAGAUGCCCUACACUUCUUUCAAAUACCAAAGAGCCAAGAUCACUUUCCACUGGAUCUGGAAAACAGACAAACAGAAUAUUUAUUGUUCAACAAUUCCGAUACGUCUCAGUUAAUAUUGUAAAGAAAGGAUAGCAAAAUGAAGUUUGAGUUCAAAGAAGAAAAUGCUUGAGAAUGCAGUAAGAGGUAAGGGAAAGGGAAAAUCUAAGGGUCCCCUCUACAUAUAACAGGUAAUGUGCAAUUAACUGGUUAACUGCACAGUUACGUUAAAACCAGCUACAUGUGCAAUACAGCUGUCAUACCAUAAAAAGCUCCAACCACCUAUAAAGUUAGACCUCAAAAAUAUGUACCAACUUCAUAGCUGGUUGCUAUCAAGAUUUAAUUUGCAUAUGUUUCAUAGUAGUUAGGGGUCAGGUGGGACCUGAAUAGAUCAUCUAGUCUAACCCCCCACCACUGGUGGGAGCACAUGCUGGGAUCACACGACCCCAGACAGGUGUUCAUCCAACCUCCUCUUGAAUUUACCCAAGGUAGGAGCGAGGAUCACUUCCCUAGGAAGUUGGUUCCAGAUGCUAGCUACCCUGAAAGUGAAAUAGUGCCUCCUAAUCUCUAACCUGAACCUAUUCUCCAGCAGCUUCUGGCCAUUGUUCCUCGUCACCCCAGGUGCUGCUGGGGGGCAAUAGGACUCUUCCUAUUUGCUGCUGAUCUCCCCUAACAAGUUUGUAGGCAGCCACCAAAUCCCCACUCAGCCUCUGCUUGCUGAGGCUGAACAGGUUCAGGUCCCUCAACCUCUCCUCAUAAGUAGUUUGGAGCAAUGUAGUAGGGUCUUAUGUAGUAGGGUCUUCCCUGUGGCUGCACACCCCAUCAGUUGACAGGGCUCCCAGCCCCACAGGAGCAUCAUGCGCAGCUAGGGCUGGGAGUUCUACAACUGAGAGGACUAUCAGCCCCAGCAACUACUGACUCUGGGUCCUGGCAGCACAGGGAUACAGAGUCAUGCAGCUGCAGACACUAGGUGCCAGAAGCCAGAUACCCUGGCGGUACAUGAAACCCCUGGGGCUGGGGAAUUGUGGAAGCCAAGAUAAGGCUGCAGGGGUUUCACAAACCACCAAGACUAGGGGAUAGUGGCAGUCACAAUCAUGUAGCUCAAGGGGUAUGUGAGGUGCUCCCAUUGCUGACAGCCCCUCAACUGAGGGGGCUCCCAACUGCAAGAAUUUGCUUCUUGCCAGUGCAGAGGGAGCCCGAGCAAGGCACAAUGGGAUCUAAGCCACAAUCCCACAAUUGCACCUCCUGCCAUGCACAUGUCGUAUGACAGGAGGUGUGAUUGUGUGAAUCACACAUUAGGUCCCAUCGUACCUUUACUUGCAUGUCUAGAGGCGGCCUAAGAAAUAUCCAUUAAAAUUUUGAAUUAUAAACUGGUUAAAAAAAGGCUCACUUAUAUCACAGUUUUUCAGUGGUAUAGCUAAUACAGUUUUAAAAAUAAUAAAGGAAUCUGUUUUUAUGCAGUUAAAUACAUUUUGGAAAUUUCACCUCCUAUAUUGAGUUUGGAUAUGCACAGUAGCUAAUGGCUGCAAAUACUGUCAGAAUAUAAGAUUUCUAGAAGCAAAUUCAGUAUAUGUUCAACUAUUUCACUGCAGAACAAUUUGCUCCAAGCUACUUAUGCAAAGAAAGAAAAGAAAAGCUAACAAGUUUGUGUUCUGAAAUAUGAAAAAAAAUAAAUUUUUAAAUCAAACAGGUAUCAACUAAUUAGUUACUUGUAUUUUUUGCCUUUUAACAUCAGCUAAUGAAUGGUCAAACGUUACAAAACUUAUCGUUUCAAUGUAGUUUACAAAGAUCUUUUUAACCAUUGUUACCAGUAUAUGUUCCAGUUAAUUGCCAAAUGCUUUAUGAACAGAUUGAAAAUAAGUGUCACUGCACCACAAAAGUCUUAUUAUUUACAUAAAGUUUUUCCUGAUUUUCCCUCUACACUAACAAUAUAGUCUCGUCUUCGCUGUUAAAAUAUCUAUUUUUUACCUCAAGGUAACUAAUGCUUGUGAGCUAUUCUGAAAAAAACAGAAAAGAAAAGAUACCUUUUUUCACCAUGAGGUAAAUUAGGCAAGAACAAUGCUAAAUGAAGUUACAUGGUAGACCUCCUCUUAAAUUUCCCGAGUUUCCCCAUGUAAACAUAGCCUUAUCUGCAUCAGUACUCAGUGUUCAUUAAGAAUAUUAUCUAAGAAGAAUGGAGAGACCACUGUACUUUAACUGCAUAUUUUAAAUGCUGUCAGGAUGCCCAGAGCAAUCUGGCAGAGACUCUAAUUUUGUGUUUAAAUAAAAUAUAUACAAAUAGACAAAGCAUUUUCUUAAAAUAGGGAAAAAUAUUUUUUGAUAAAAUAAUUUAUUUAAAUACUGAGAAUUUGAAGAAAAUGCAGUCAGAAAAAAAAUAAUUAAUCCAUGCAUUGAAAGAAUGUGAAACACUUCAGGCCAAAUGGUACUUGGAAGUGAAAGUAUAAGGGGCUAAAACAGAAUUAAAGAGAAUAAAUAAGCAAAGUGUAGAAGGCUGCUAGAAUUUCUGAUUUUUUGCAAUGUGUACAAGCAUUUUUAACCUGCACCUCACAGUUGGUAUUGAUCUACCUUAUCUAUCAAUUCUUCUAAAUGAGAUCCAAUAGUUCAGCAGUCAGCAAUGUUUCAGCGCUGUUUGCCUUAACAACAGGCUCAGAUACGAGGUAGACUGGUGUACUACUGCUUUUCUUGGCUGCUGCUUCUUCCCACCCAAGCUGCAGUGUGGGUGCAACUCCUUGCUACUCAGACGCAGCAUGGACAAAGCCCCACACUGCUGAAACACUGUUGAAGCACCUCAGCUCUAUGGCCCAGAUCUAGCAGCUCUAAGGACUGUACACUGCUGAAGCCUGCACUAAUUCAUUAAAAUAAUUUCCAUUUUCUUAUUUUGAAAGUAAAAAAUUAACAUGGUUUACCUGUGAGGGUUGAAAAAAAGAAGCUGAAAUAGUCUAUAUCAUUCAAUGAGCCAUCUUGCACUUGGCACUUCCAUCCUGCAAAGGAUGAUCUAAAAAAAAAAGGAACAAUUAGAACUGGUAACACUAUAACUGAGACUGCACUUCAAGCAAUUAGAUAUUAAUAUGAUCAAUUUAAAAAUAAAAAUCAAUACCAUUACAUUUGGCAUUGCUAUCCCCAACUAUUAUUAUUAAACAGGACUAAUGCCAUCACCACAAAGCUAGCUGCCCAUGUUUGUAGAAGACAGUUUUGUGUUGUUUUGUUUUUUAAACAGAUGACCAGCCCUCCUGCAGUAACUGCCAAGUAGCCAUUGUACAAGCUGCCUUUCAAUGCUAGGCUGUGGAAUGGACGAAUGGACAGAUGCGGUUAUAUACCGUCACCUGGGCACAAGCAUUAAGGCCAUGACACUAUCAGCUGGGCAGAGGCCUUGCGACUCCCAGAACAGCCCAGCCUUCCUUUAGGGUUCCACAGAAGCUUGUAAAUCUUAUUUUAUCCUACAGAAAACUCAAGUCAAUCCAGACCAGGCCCUGCUGCCAGGCUGCCUAAAAGCUAGACUGGUGAUGCUGACAUCAGCAAACAAGCAGGGGCUGGGGUGGUGUGGGCGCUAAGGAGCAUGGUUGACAGCCCAGGGGUUGCAAGUUUGUGACCUCAGCAGAAGAGUUCAUGGUGCGGCCAUGUCAGAUUCCAAUGAAUUUGCAAAUUCUGCUAAAUACCUUGUCACAAGAGCAUGAAAAAGGAAAGGGCCCCACCACUACAUUGUGGCAGAAGUGAAAACAGGCUGCCUGCACUAGGCAAAAUGACUAUUCCACAGCUGAAGCAAACACAUGACACCAACACUCUGACUUGCACUGGUAUAUCUGAUUUUUCCCAGGGUACCUCUACACUGGAUUCUAGUAUGUUACACUUCAGUGGACAAGUAUGAGCACUUAGCCUGGAUGAGGAACGCAAAGAGGGAGACGAGAAAUCAACUGGGAAAUUCAGCAGGGGCAUGGGAGUAACUGAAGAACAUGAGAAGAUCAGAUCAGAUAAGCUGGGGGUGAGCAGGGCAUAUAUGCAACCCAAAUUGUUACAGACUUUUACAUAACAGUGAAGAAUGGUCUACCAUUUUAAGCUCCUGUCUGAACACAGCAAAGGAAAUGUCAGCAUUUUAAGGGCAACUUUUCUUUUUAGUUCGUGUAUAUCAGUCUUGUAUUCAUUUUGGUAACCUUUAAAAUAUUUUUUCUUUGAUUUUUUUUUGUUCACCCAGUAUCUCAAAAUUAACCAUAUCUCAUAUUGUCAAUGUUUAAUUUAUUUGUAGUUCCUUCUGCCUGUAAAUUAUAUUUAAGUCCAUUUUUAUUUCACUUAUUGUUACAAUAAAGAAAUAUGUGCAGAUGUACUUCACUUCUAAAACCUUAUACUGUUUAAAAUUUUCAUGAAAA